CACCCUCAGAAGAGCACUGGAGGUUUUCAAGCAACGAGUGGAGACUAUUGGCCAGGUCCAUAUGCAGCUAGCCCAGAAUCUCAGGGAAGAAGCGAAGAAAAUGGAGGAUUUCAGAGAAAA